AUUCAUCGGCAAUAGUAAAACAUUUUCGCCCUUCCAUGUCCCGCUACACGGUCUUGCCAGUCUUGAAAUGGAAAAAUUAAAAACAAAAACAAUUAAUGAGUCCAUUAUUUUUCUCUCUAUAUCCGUUGCAUCUCCUUCUCCUCACUUUUUUUUUUUUUUUUUUUUGUCUCUUCUGUCAAAAUCCUCCACUACGAACCCAUUUUCUUGCUUCAAAAAUUGGGUCCAAGCAAGUCAAAACAGUAGCUUUUUGCAUUUCCAAAGGUGCUGGUCGCUAGUUGUUGCUGUUCUAGUCGCCGAUCUGGUUGUUGCCAUUCUGCAGAUAAUACUUGGGUCUGCGAAUUUCUAUUGUUUAUUUGUUUAAUUUGUUUAUCAUAAUAUAUAUUUGGUUCAAAAGGAGGUUUGGCACUGAAAAGCGUUUGAUUGGUAAUUGAAGGUUGGAGCUUCAAUUCAGUCAGGUUACUCAUUUCAUAUUUUUGAUAUCUGUAUAACCAACUCCGUAUACAGAUGUGAUGUUGAUAUUGUUGGCAAAGGAAGGUUUUAAUUUUCUUUCUGCAUAAUCUAGUGGUGUUAGAAUAAGUUGGGGCUUUAGUCUCUUGAUAUCUAUAUAUAUAUAUAUAUAUAAAGUCUAAAGCUCCGGUGGAAGUUUAUGCAUAAGUAGUAUCUGGGUUGUGGCUGUUGUUGGUAGCUGGCUAGUGUCAUAUGUUCUUGUUUAGAGAGAGUGAGUUGUAGUUGCUUGACUUGUUUUUAUGUAUAAGUGAUAAUAAUUCCAUAUUAUCUAUUAGAAAAAUGCUACCUUGUUGAUCAGCUAUUAAAUUUUGCAUGGUCCAACAGCAGUAUUUUCAGCUGAUGAUAAUCGUGUAUAUGUCAUAAUAAAUGAACACCAUCCAUUAGGAGAAUAAAAUGUCAAAUAUAGUGACAUAUAACAAAAGUACAUAAUAAUAAAGCACAUUAAUAUACAUACAUCUAAUCAUUAUUUAAUUGACUUAAACAGUUAAAUCCAAAUCCACAUUUUGCCAGAUCAAGAAACGUCAAGAAUCGCUCUUAUCUGUUAACUACUGAAGAAUAGAGAUAUAGAUUACAUGGUUAAUUUCAUGGUCAAAAUUUUUCUUUUUUCUUUUUUCUUUUUUCUUUUUUUUUAAAAAAAAAGUAACAACAUUAAAGCUAUUCAAUCGAAUAGAAACAGAGGAAUUUAGUGGAUGUAAGAAAGACUUUGUCUUGCAUGGAUCAAUAUGUGGUUAUAAAUAUAUAUAUAUAUAUAUAUAUGUUAACUUGCAGAGAUAAAGCCAAAAGAGAAAGUCCCUUUGUUUAUCCCUUGUAAUAUCAUUUUCCUGAUUACUUUGAUCCAUCAUUCUGUCCUUUACUUCAUUAGUCUAACCAAAUACGAAGUUAAGGCCUAAAAUAUAGUUUAAAUAUGGAUAAGUACCAUGGUAUGAUACGGAGUUUAGGUUAAUUCGGGUUUCAAUCAAGGCUAAAUAAGUGUUCUAAGAAAACCUAUGUAUAUAGGCUUAAUGAACCUUGUCAGCUGCUUUUUAGUCAGUAUUAAUGUGUCACAAGAAUCUAUGUAACUCAACAAAUUUUCUUUAGUCUAAUAUGGCAUCAAGUAUAUAUACAGAAAUAUAUACUUAUUGGCAAAUGUACUUGUUAUCAGUAAAAUGGAUUCUGCCAUCUGACACUGCUAGUCCUUAGGCAUAGCAUACGCAUGGGAUUUAUAUUAACUGAAGCUUUUGUUUAUUUAUUUAUUUUGAUCUCUUUCUUCCCUUUUUGGUAGGGGUGGGCUCGGUUCGGUUCGGUUCGGUUUUGUGAACUUUUUUAAACCAAACCGACCGGUUCGGUUUGGGUUGGGUACAAAACCGAACCGAACUGACCGUUACAUUCAACCCAAACCGAACCGAACCGAAUGAAUAUUUUUCGGUUUGGGUUGGGUUCACGGGUUGGGCCGGGUUGGGCUUUCUGAUGGGCUUCGGCCCAAAUAUUUUUAUUUUUGGUUUAGGCCGGUUUGGGCCUUAUGAUGAGCUUCACUUUCAGCCAAAUUUUUUUUAUUUUUGAUUUGGGCCAGUUUGGACCUCAUGAUGGAUUUCGGCCCAAAUUUUUUUAUUUUUACUAUUUUGAGAUAUGGGUCGGUUCGGUUUGGGUUGGGUAAAUUUUUUACCCACCCGUAACCCGAACCGAAAACCACGGGUUCAAUCCAUAUGUAACCGAACCGACCCGCUUAACAGUUAAAAACCAACCCAACCCGACCCAAAUAGUUCGGUUCGGGCGGUUUGGUCGGUCCGAGUCGGGUUUUGCCCAGCCCUACUUUUUGGUGCACUUUGUUUUUGUUGUCUGUGUGACAGAGGAGCCAAUUUUCCGUGAUGAAUCAUAAUGACCUGUUGUUGGUGUGUUUUUUUAAGCUUCUCAACAAAUAUUUUUUAAGGUUUGUGAAACUAUUAUCAUGUGUACAUAAAAACGUUGAUCUUAUGGUGGCAUACCACAUGGUAACCAUGAUUUUGGUGAGAAUGUGGAUAAGGUCCAUGAUUGCCAAAACUUUACCAUUUUAACUAUACCAUAAUAAUCAUAUUACCCCAUUUCUACUUUUCUUUUAUUUGAACAUCAGGUUGUCUGCUCUCCUCUUUCUUAAUGCUUCUAUCCUGAAGCGCCAUAUGGCAGGCAGAUCAUUGUUUUAAGGACUUAUGUUACCAAAUGUUGGAGACCUACAUAGCCACUGAAUUUGACUCAUUCUCUACUCUGUUCUCUGUUGUAUUUUGUGGUGUGUUGAAGACAAAGAGAAAACUAGUGCUGCUUAAUUUGUGAAGCGUAGUGCUGCUUGAUUAGUUGACACUUAAAGCUCUUUAAUUUGUUUAGCAGGUUUCAUUUUCCUCCAAGAACCUCCACCUCCUCCACCAGCUGCUUGUUGACAUUUUUUUUUUUGGUAGAUUUAUAUGUUCAUAUAUGUUUUGUUUAUGUUCAUAUAUGUUAGUAUAUUUUAUUGUAGUAGAUUUAUAAAUUUUAGUAA